UUGCCGCCUACUUCCGGGGUAUUCAGCCUCGCGUAGUUCCAAAUAGCCAUUCUAUGGCGUUGGACAUCAUUCACUUCCAUUGCUGACUGUCGAGUAACUUCUGAGUCUUAACAUGAUCAUGUUUCACGCUGUGGUCUGGGGGUGACCACUUAUCAGAAGUGAGCUAGCUGCUAGGCGAAUGCUGAAUGGACCACGGCAGACCUAACGCUACCACGAAGGUAAGCUAAUGGCUGAAUGGGAAUUUAUAAGCAAAAUCACGGUAAUCAAUAAUACAGCCCAGUCGCCAUAAAAUGAAAAUCAUGAGACAUCUGUCAUCACAUGAAUGAUAUGGAAAA